rnacentral:rRNA from 1 species
GGGAAUAUUGGGCAAUGGACGAGAGUCUGACCCAGCCAUGCCGCGUGCAGGAAGACGGCCUAUUGGGUUGUAAACUGCUUUUAUAAGGGAAGAAAAGGCCCAUGCGUGGGACAUUGCCGGUACCGUAUGAAUAAGCACCGGCUAACUCCGUGCCAGCAGCCGCGGUAAUACGGAGGGUGCAAGCGUUGUCCGGAUUUAUUGGGUUUAAAGGGUGCGUAGGCGGCUGAUUAAGUCAGCGGUGAAAGACUCCGGCUCAACCGGAGCAGUGCCGUUGAUACUGGUUGGCUUGAGUGCUGCAGGGGUACAUGGAAUUGAUGGUGUAGCGGUGAAAUGCAUAGAUACCAUCAGGAACACCGAUAGCGAAGGCAUUGUACUGGGCAGCAACUGACGCUGAUGCACGAAAGCGUGGGGAGCGAACAG